CCGUAGCUGCUGGCUAGAAAUUAGGAAAAAAAGGACAUACAGAAGCUGAGAAUUCAAAAAUAAGGACGUAAAAACCCUGAAAAUUCAAAAAUAAGGACGUGAAGAGGCUGAAAAUUCAAAAAUAAGGACAUAAAGAGGCUAAAAAUUCAAAGUAAGGACAGAAAAAAACUGGAAAUUCAAAAAUACGGAUAGAAAGAGGCUGGAAAUUCAAAAAUAAAGACAGAAAGAGGCUUAAAAUUCAAAACUAAAGACAGAAAAGAGCUGAAAAUUCCAAAAUACGAAUAGAAACAGGCUGGGAAUUCAAAAAUAAGGACAGAAAGAAGCUGAAAAUUCAAAAGUAACAACA